rnacentral:rRNA from 1 species
AUGAGGAGGGCCACCCCGUAUUCGCAUUUCGUCCGGAAUGGGUCGGCGCAGCCACCCGAGUACCCGCCGCCACCUCCCGCUCGAGAUCCAUGUCUCAGUCAUCGCUGCUGCUGGAGAAGUACCGGCAUGCGGCCUAGGGCGAUUCGGCAGCGGAGAUCCACAAUUCGAACAUGCGGAGAAGCGGUGGCUCCACACAUACCAGUCCAUGUUGCAGGCGGCGUGUGGUAUGUCGCUACUCGCCCGGGCGAAGGUGGCCCCGCCCAGGACUUCAUCGAGCCUCCCGCUAGAGAGGUCUCCCGCGCUGAGGAGGAGCAGGACUGCUUGAAAUUUAAUCAGCUCGAGGCCGAGCUAUCGACAAGACCUAUAUGGCUUAGCCCAUCGCAAAGAAUCCGGAGCUAG